GGUGAUGAAGUGAAGUCAGUGUCAGUGAUGGAGGGAGACUCUGUUACUCUACACACUGAUAUUACUGAAAUACGGGGCAUUGAUGUGAUAAUGUGGAGAUUUGGACCUCAAGAAACUCGUAUAGCUAAAAUCGUUAAAGCAGACAAUAAUAUCUCAAUAUAUGUUGAUGUUUUUGAUGGGAGAUUCAGAGACAGACUGCAGGUGAAUAAUCAGACUGGAGAUCUCACCAUCACAAACAUCACAACUCAACACACUGGAGUCAUCACUCAAAUAAUCAGUGGGAAACAGACAUACAUACACAAAUUCAAUGUUACUGUCUAUGGUGAGUAAAGAUUUACUGGUGACAUAUUAACUGUCAUAUUUAUCUUAGCACUGUAAAAUAUUUGAUUAGUGUUUGGGAAAUAUACAUAUUUAUGCCACUUUUUUCUUUCAGACUAUUUUUUAAUUUGUUGAAUUCACAUAACUGAAGACAUUAAACACUCAAUAAAUCUAACUUCUUGACUAAUAUUGAUAAUAUUUGCUUUGAUUCUUAUUUCUGUUUAUUCUCUCAUGUUUUUCAGCUCGUCUGCCCGUUCCUGUCAUCAGCAGAAACUCAUCACAAUGUUCUUCACCAUCAGAAAGAUCAUCAAGUUCAAAUUGUUUAUUUUUGUGUUCAGUGUUGAAUGUGAGAGAUGUGAGUCUGUCCUGGUACAAAGGAAACAGUUUAUUGUCCAUCAUCAGUGUGUCUGAUCUCAACAUCAGACUCUCUCUGUCUCUGGAGGUUGAAUAUCAGGAUACAAACACAUACAGAUGUGUACUCAACAAUACCAUCACAAACCAAACUCAACAUCUCAACAUCAAGAAUCUCUGUCAGACGUGUUCAGGUCUCACCUCAGAUAAACUUCUGUUCUGUUCUGCUGUUGGAUGUCUGAUGAUUGUAGCUUCAGUUCUGAUCUUCUGGAUCUACAGGAAACACACAAACAAACACCAACCGGUUCAGACCGGUGAAGAGGAAAUCAUGUACACAGAAACAACUUUCCAUCAAAGUCAAACAUGUAAACUGGUGAGAUCAAUCUUUAGUCAGUAUAUAGAAUAUCUAACUGAUUAAAUCACAUUUGAUCCAGAAACAUUUUUAGUUAUGCUGGUUAAAAUUCUCCUCACAUCCUGAAAGCAAUCAUUGUGUUAAGUUGUUUAAAUGUAUUUGUAGAAAUGUAUGUCAUCUGUGAAAGGCGUAGGACCAAAAAAUGUUCAACCGAUCAUAGAUCUUGGUCCGAUCGAACGUUGCCUUUUUUGUCCCUCAUCCGUAAGCGUAAUUUCAAUGCCCACCACGCAGCGAGUCCACACAGACACCAUACUUCAUCGGCGCGUUCACGUGCCCUCACCUCCCAUCUGUAAACAGAGGGAUAAUGGCAAACUUUUCUGCUGAAUUGACAACCUACACAGGAGCCACAAAAUGAAAUACAUCUUUUAUAACAACAACAGCAAAACUGCCUGGAUCAGCAAAGAGCAAAAACCUAAAUUAACAUCGGUAACUUUACUGCUUUACCACGAGAUGCAAACAGCUGCAGGAGGCAAACGCUCUGAAAGGGUCGUUGCACUGUUUAUUUUCCCUGCUGAAAAAAACAGCAUCAAACCAGCAUGGACCAGCAUGGGAAUUAUGCUGGUCUAUGCUGGUUUAGCUGGUGUUAUACCACGGGUCUGUUGAAUGCUGCAUUCUGAUUGGCUGAGAAAUGUUCUAUAGGUGUUGAUUAUUUUUCUGUAAACCGCACACCUAUCUUUUCAAAUGUCUUAAAAAUAGGCACCAGAGCAAUGUUUGUGGUAACCGUGGUAUAAGCGGAAUAAUUGACUCCGGUCCUUUGAAUUAUUUGAAAAUAAUGCACACCUCCGCUUCGCGUCGUGCCGCAUUACCACCUUGGUGUGCAUUAUUUUCUUAUAAUUCAAUGGCCCGUCGUCAAUUAUUCCUUACAUAACCAGCACCAAAACACAACAUAUGCUGGUGCUAAUGCUCAUUUAGCUGGUGCUAAUGCUGGUUUAGUUGGUGCUAAUGCUGGUGCUGAUGCUGGUUUGAUGCUGGUUUAGCUGGUGUUCACUGGCAAACCAGCACCAAAACACAACAUAUGCUGGUCUUGCUGGUAUGCUGUUUUUUUCAGCAGGGUUGUUAAGGUAGGUACGUGAUAUGUUUGUAUUGAGAUGGA